ensembl:lncRNA
GUUGGUCUAUGGAUGGAGAAGCCUGGUAGGCUGCAGUCCUGGGUCGCACAGUCGGACACGACUGAAGCGACUUAGCAGCGGCAGCAGCAGCAUAGUAAGUAAUGGCUUUGAUGAGACACAUACACACAGAUGCUUCCUGUGGCAUUUAGAGUAACACAAACUUGCCUUGAGCUGACAGUUGUAUUUUUAUACUGUGACGUGGGCCAUAUAUUCAGGACCGUGGAGACAGAUAAGAAUUCUGAAGUUCCCUCGUGAUUACCCUUCGAAAGGAAGCCUUUGUUUAGCUCGUGGCAGUAUUCACAGGACAAUGGACUGCCAGUGAUAUAUGCAAGUCUGUCCUUUCUCAACGUCACUAGCUCAGCUUCUCUCUCUCUCCCGCUCUGGCCUCACUCAAUGGAAAACAGCUGGCCAAUCUCCUUCUCUGCCUUGAAGGUGGUUAUUGAAGUGCUUUCGCAUUUUCCCUCUGCAGCCUGUAGCACUGUCACUUACUGGGCAUCUGAGGUUCCGUGUCAGCAUGAAAACUCAUUACCUGCCUGCCUGGUUCUGCUGGCUCAGCUCCUUCUUGGAAGCAGGUGGCAUUUCCAUAAUGAAUAUAUUAAAAAGAAAGAAAACAUUCCUGGUUUGUUGUUAGACUGGUUUCUUAUUAGACACCCAGUCCUCAUUCGAGCAUUAAUUGCUGUAUUGCAAUGAAAGAGUGUUAUCAGUGAAGAAGCUCCAGGCAAGAAAAGAGAAGUAAGCAGUUUUCCUGGACAUAUUUACUGAGGUGAAAAUGUACAGAGAGAGUCACUAGGGCAUCAGCUUGCUGGAGGAGGGCGCCUGUCGGGACACGGGAGUCCCGACACCCAAACCAGGAGGCGCUGGAGACGCCAGCCUCCUUCGUCCAGCGCCCAGGUACAACUAUUAAGGAGUGUCAGCGCGUGGUAGAAGUGUAACAUCUGCAGUAAGUUUUUUUCCCUCUUAAUCACCAUCAUUAUUAUUAUCAUCAUUAUUAUUAUCUUCAUUAUUAUUACGAAUACUGUCUCACAUCUUUCAACUCCAGAAAAUAAACUGAUCCACAGUUUAUCGUGUGGUGCCAACCUGGUUGGUCUGACAUGCAUUGCCUUCUCCCCUCCCCUCUUGGGUUUGUUCACUCACUCACUCACUCACUCAUUCAUUCAUUUGUCCACAGCUGGAAUCAGAGGUUUGUUACCCCAAACACACACUAACCAAAGCUGGUCAGUGUCCAUUAAUCAAUCAAUUUUAAGAUGCACACACGCACAGACACACACACGUCAGAAAUAGCUAGAAUGAUGCUGGGAAAUAUCAGGUAGCCAUUAAAGCGAGUAGCCCCAAGUCAGUCAUCUUGGCCUGAAGAUGUAAACGAGGAGGUGUGCUUCACGGAGUUUGGUGUUCGCUUUUCCUGCGCUGAAGCCACCUCUAUCCUUCCGUGCUCACGUCCAUCCACAGUUGUGCAGGACGUUACGUCAAGAUGUGGCCAAUAAAGUCCAAAAGCGCUUGGAAUACUGUUCUGGGUUCACGGUGGAGAUCUCCGCGCCAGCCUGGGCAGUGUGGGAGAAGAGGAACAGCGAUACUGUUAGAACUACUUGAUCAGCACCGACAGCAGCUUCCACUGCAGCUGAAUAUGAAGCCAGUCACUUUCAAACCUGUGCAGCCUCUACUCAGAACUCAGAAUAUCUUGGAUAUGGGUCUGAAUAACCAAGACUUAAGAAUCUGGGUGUGAAAAUGAGGCAGUCUCAGGAAAAACAGAGGCUGGUGUCAUAUACAUUGUGACUGCUGCCACCAAA